CAGAUAUGCCUAAUGUACUACAUAGAGUACACCGCUAACAAGUCUCGUCCUGCAAAUGGUACAAUGUUUAUAUUACUAAUAUAAGCAUCCAUCCUUUCAGUACGAACCCACCUAGCGUUAGAUAAACACCUCGUUCGGAUUCAUUAGAUAUUAGUGCGCUAUUCGUGUGUUUGAAGUUGGUGAUUUCCACACGAUGGCUGACUUUGGGAUCCGUUUCGCAAGAAUCGACAUCCAAUCCAAAAAAAUUGAACUUUUUUUCGUAUAGGCGGUUAUAUUUUGGUGUACUACAUAUAGGACAUUAGGAUAAUAGGUAGCUAUCAAUGUAUUUUUAUUACGGAGGGUUUUCACUGAACGAAGCUCUGGCUAUGUUGGAAGAUAAUCCUGAAGUGGCAGCAGAUGUAGAUGAAAUAAUUUUGAUGCCUCCGGAAAGAGAAUUUUUCGCAACUGGAACUGUGAGAGAGAAUAGACUGCCAGGGAAUACAUUGAUGAAUUCCAAAAAUCUCAAAAAAGAAAUACGUGGGACAUUUGAUUACCAAAAAAUAUCGAAUCAGAACAUCAUAGCAGUGAAAUGGAAUGACAACAGCAUCGUUACAAUAUGUUCUAAUUAUGCCGGAGUGGAACCACUUCAUGUAGUCAAGAGAUAUUCUCGGAGAGAAAAAAAAAUAUUCAGGUAAAGUUUUUCUAUGAUUAGGUAUCAUCGUAUAAUUUGAUAAUUUUUCCAGGUUAUGCAACCACAUCUGAUAAAUAUAUACAACUCUAACAUGGGUGGCGUAGAUCGUUCCGACCAAAAUAUUAGUUUGUAUCGAAUUUCGCUGAGAGGGAAAAAAUGGUAUUUUCCUCUAAUAUCACACUGCAUUGAUAUGUGCGUCCAAAAUGCAUGGCAGUUGCACAAGAAGGAGGGAGGGAACUUCGACCAGCUGAACUUCAGGAGAAGGAUUGCCAUCCUAUUACUUACCCAAAACAAGAAGGAAUACACUUUCCAACAAGGUCAUUUGAGUAAAAAUUCACCACAGAUGGAAUUACGCUAUGACCGGUUGGACCAUAUUGUCUCCCCACAAGACAAGCAGACACGUUGUGGAUAUUGCCAUCAAAAAACAACUACAAGAUGAACUUGAAAUGUGAUGUAGGGGUUCAUGUAAAAUGUUUUUAUGAUUUUCACACACAAUCGAGAUCGUGAUCGUAAUAGUAGUGGAACUGCCUAAUGUCCUAUAUAUAGGACGGGCUUAUUUUUGUACUUAAAGUGAAAAAACUUCUUUUUUUUA